AGGCAGGGAGGAAAUGGAACCCCAAGGAAACACGUUCAAGACACUGCUUUACCUUCAGAACCACCUUCCUGCCCCCAACCUGAUUAACUUAGACCUGUCCCUCUCAGGUGUCCUGUGCUUCAGGAAGUCCUCCCUAACUUGCUUUGAAUUCACCUCUUACACGCACCACACUCUUAAUUGCCUAUUUAUCAGUUUCCUCCACCAGAAUACAGAAUCCCUGAGGGUAGGAAAUGAUGGAAUGACCUUGUUCACUGCUGCAUUCCUAGGGGCUACUGUGCCCAACACACAAUAUGGGCACUUGGUAGCUGCUAAAUUAAUAAUAGUAAAAAUUGUAAAAGCAGCAAGCAUUUAUGGUGCACUUACUGUGUACCAGGACCUGUGCUAAAUGCCUCACAGAGAUCAACUCACAAUAAGUAUUAUCUUCCCUGUUUUAUAGAUCAGAAAAUUCAGACUCAGAGAGGUUAAACAUUGGAAGUUACUCUACAAACCAGUGACGCACAAGGGAGACCCGUCAAGACCGUGGCGCAAAGAUAAAAUGAUGACUGAGAAGGCAUUGCCUGAUUUGACAAUGCUGUUGACUAGAUGACAAACGGUAUACAAAGGAGAAUUCCUUCAUCUUGAUUUAAUUUUGUUUCAUUUUUUCCUAUUUUUAGCACUGGUUUUCUAAACUUCCUACAUGUCUGGGGUUCAACUAUAAAUACUGCAUUUGAGCCACAAAACCUCUAAGAGACCUGGUUAAAAAGUGAACAAAUUUAACCAGUUCAGCAUUGUAACCAGUGGCUGAAGAGGCUCCUGCCCUAGGACAGGUAAUCAGGUUUGCUUUGUAAAAGACUCUUCAAGGAAAUGUGAGUACAGUCAAAUGGAAUAAAAAAAAAUGGAAAGCUCUCUGUAUUAAACUUGAUUCUGAGCCCCACCCCAAAAUAAAUCCAACGUCUAUCCUCUUCUCAUCAUUCCCUGAUAAAAACUAUGAGGGCUAGAACAAAAAUACAAGGGUUGCUUAUCUAGGCAUGGAGUUUUAUCACAAGAAUAGAUGUCAAACUCUUUUACCAGCUCCCACUAUUACAUCAACACCAGCGAAGUUACUAAUUAUAUUUCUGGGAUUAAUAACAGCAAGAUAUUUUGUUGGUUAGUAUGGAAUACAGAAUCCCAUAUACUUACAUCAACAAUUGUUAUUGGGUCUUUAUUUUUGCUAGAAGAAGUAUCUGGUUUGUCUUCAUAACCUUCAAAUUCUUCAUCAUCAUAUGGCUCACCCUCGGUAUCU